rnacentral:rRNA from 1 species
CAGCAGCCACGGUAAUACGUAGGGUGCGAGCGUUAAUCGGAUUUACUGGGCGUAAAGCGUGCGCAGGCGGCCCGUUAAGACAGAUGUGAAAUCCCCGGGCUCAACCUGGGAACUGCAUUUGUGACUGGCAAACUAGAGUAUGGCAGAGGGGGGUGGAAUUCCGCGUGUAGCAGUGAAAUGCGUAGAUAUGCGGAGGAACGCCGAUGGCGAAGGCAGCCCCCUGGGCCAAUACUGACGCUCAUGCACGAAAGCGUGGGGAGCAAACAGGAUUAGAUACCCCAGUAGUCCCUGUCUCUUAUAC